rnacentral:rRNA from 1 species
GACGGAGGGUGCUAGCGUUGUUCGGAAUCACUGGGCGUAAAGGGCGCGUAGGCGGCCUUGCAAGUCGGUUGGUGAAAGCCCGGGGCUCAACCCCGGAGGUGCGGCCGAGACUGCAGGGCUGGAGGCCGGAAGAGGAGGGUGGAAUACCCAGUGUAGAGGUGAAAUUCGUAGAUAUUGGGUGGAACACCGGUGGCGAAAGCGGCUCUCUGGUCCGGACCUGACGCUGAGGUGCGAAAGCGUGGGGAGCAAACAGG